GAUGAACGCUGGCGGCGUGCUUAACACAUGCAAGUCGAACGGAUCUGCUGUUUGUAGCAAUACAGAUAGUAGGUGAGUGGCGAACGGGUGAGGAAUAUAUAAGCAAUCUGCCCUCAAGCUCGGAAUAACUCUCCGAAAGGAAAGCUAAUACCGGAUACAUUCCUAGGUUCGCAUGAACCCGGGAAGAAAGGCGCAAGCCGCUUAAGGAGGAGCUUAUANCUGAUUAGUUAGUUGGUGGGUAACGGCCUACCAAGACGAUGAUCAGUAGCUGGUCUGAGAGGACGAACAGCCACACUGGGACUGAGACACGGCCCAGACUCCUACGGGAGGCAGCAGUGGGGAAUAUUGCGCAAUGGGCGCAAGCCUGACGCAGCGACGCCGCGU
rnacentral:rRNA from 1 species